CAAAAUUGGGUUAUGUGGGAUAUUAAUGAGUGGUUGGGACGUUAUGUCAUGAAGUUUAAAUGUUUUUUCCACCAUUUAAUUGAUUACUGGAAGACUGAAGACUGAAGACCGUGGUCAGUUUCAAAAGCCACAACCAAAACACCUCACCACAUUCAUGGCCAUGCAAUAAAGAUUACUAGGACCAGUAUUUUUAUAACAUAUUUUGUGCGGACAAAACGAUGCUCUCCUCCCUUACCAUUCACCCCGCUAUAUAACAGGCCAAACAUCGGGGCUAAAGCUACUGUGUUUCCAACGUCCCUUUCACGACUCAAGCCAUAGUAAACUACUGCUGAAGCUUCAAACAGGAUGGCCAUGGAGGGAGGGGAAAACCUCCUUAUUGAAAUCUCGAGUGACUCAUCUGAUGAUGAAGAUGCAAUCUUCAUUGACUGGGAAGUCACCCUUACUAGGCAUAAGGCAUCCGGGUCGCAAUGUUUGGGAAUUCCAGCACGGGUGGUGAGGGCCUGUCUUAUGCACAAACCACUGACUUUAGAAAUUGAGAUAGAUUGUGAUUACCAACGUUUGGAAGACUGGGAAUUGAAAUGGACUCAUGACAUGCCAACACAAUGCAUGUUUGGCCAUGGAUGGUACGAGUUUGCAAAGGAGAAGAAUCUCCGUGAGGGAGAUAUUGUCAGCUUUCUGAAACAUCCAAACAUGCUCUGUUUUCUUCUGCUCAUUACCAGGGUAGAGGAACAAUGAAUGUAGCCUGUAUUUGCCAAUAUCCAUCCAUGCAUGUGUCAUUUAAGCUGGUCGUCUAAUUCCUCCUUUUUUCCAUGUGUUUUAUUUGUGCAACCACGUUAGAUCAUGGAGUGUUGUGUUUCAUCACCUCGGAAAUAUAUUAUCCCUUGAAGUGUGACAUAACGUGCAGACUUAACUAUUUC